ensembl:lncRNA
AUUACUGUAAAUAGAGAAACAGAAGAGUGCAAAGACAGACAGGCCUUUGCAGAACACAAGUCGUGGAGAUUAUUGGUCCAGGAGAGGUAUAGCUGUACUUACACAACUUACAGAGUUAUCAAGCUGUGUGAAGUGGAGCUGGCUUUGUGCAGAGCCAGUCUCAUCACUCUUUCUGGAAUGGUCAGCCCUGUGAAGAGCAGAAACACUCUACUUGCUUUGCAGGAGUCCUAAAGUAUCAUCAGUUUGUUAUGCCCACGUGUCAGACUUAUGUUGGUUUCAGGGAAAACGGAACUGUAAGAGACUGUGGUGGAAAUGCUAAGUCAUGGCUUGAACCAGUGAUUGAGCACCUGGUGGGAAGGCAGGGCCAACCCUGGGAGCUCAGGAGCAUGCAGUGUACCUGAGUGACCAGAAGGGAUGGAGCCAAGAUCCACCCCCUCCCAGACCUCAUUUAAGGGUUGGCAGCGGAGGCAAGGGGAUCUUGCUGGAGAUCCCUGCCUACCUGAGGCCUUCUAAAGGUAAGCAGCUUCUUUUCUGUAUUUCUGUGCCCACAGCUGUUGCAUUUGAGCAAAUCCUCACUUGCUGCAGCCUAGGACCUUUCUGCUUUGCUGUCAUUGCUGUGCUUUCCAUUGCAUUAUAGGGACAGAUCUGAGAGGACUCAGCAGUGCUGAAACAGAGCAUGCAAUAAGCAGUGCAAAGAUGCAGAUCUCUGCAGCUGCUUGAAACAUAAGCUAACCAGUGCUGACUCAGAAAGACACCCAAGGAGAGCUGUUCCUAGUAUUAUGGGUCCCAGAAAGUUGUCUCUGUGGCAGAACAUGGAGCCAUUGGGGGGUGUGGUGCACCACAUGCACUGGUUCCUUCUACAACCAGGAGUGUUGAACACUGUUGUGCAGAGAGAUUCUUUCCUCUACAGGAAUCAUUUCAAACCCAGAGGGACUAGCUACCUCCAAUUCAUUGUUAUCCCUGUUGGGUCUAGCCUGGAUCUACACACCUGUCCCUGCACCGUGCAGACUGCAGGGAGCUGGAGAAUCACCUCUGAGAAGAGCAUUCCACUUUGUCAAGAUGUACUUUUGAAAUGUGAAGCUGUGAAUUCUAAUCAUCUGAAGCAAUUAACUGCUAUCUCUACGGGUGAAGAGGAGCCAACUGCAGAACCAAGUGUACUGAAAAUGGGCCGUUGCAGAUAA